GAUGAACGCUAGCGGCAGGCUUAAUACAUGCAAGUCGAGGGACAGCACAGGUAGCAAUACUGGGUGGUAACCGGCAAACGGGUGCGGAACACGUACACAACCUUCCUUUAAGUGGGGGAUAGCCCAGGGAAAUUUGGAUUAAUACCCCGUAAUAUAGUUGAAUGGCAUCAUUUGAUUAUUAUAGCUACGGCGCUUAAUGAUGGGUGUGCGGCUGAUUAGAUAGUUGGCGGGGUAACGGCCCACCAAGUCUACGAUCAGUAGCUGAUGUGAGAGCAUGAUCGGCCACACGGGCACUGAGACACGGGCCCGACUCCUACGGGAGGCAGCAGUAAGGAAUAUUGGUCAAUGAACGCAAGUCUGAACCAGCCAUGCCGCGUGAAGGAUUAAGGUCCUCUGGAUUGUAAACUUCUUUUAUUUGGGACGAAAAAGGGCCUUUCUAGGUCAACUGACGGUACCAGAUGAAUAAGCACCGGCUAACUCCGUGCCAGCCGCCGCCGUAAAAC
rnacentral:rRNA from 1 species